UAAUUUCUUCAAUUUCUUCAA
rnacentral:piRNA from 1 species